rnacentral:rRNA from 1 species
GUGACUGCGUACCUUUUGUAUAAUGGGUCAGCGACUUAUAUUCUGUAGCAAGGUUAACCGAAUAGGGGAGCCGAAGGGAAACCGAGUCUUAACUGGGCGUUAAGUUGCAGGGUAUAGACCCGAAACCCGGUGAUCUAGCCAUGGGCAGGUUGAAGGUUGGGUAACACUAACUGGAGGACCGAACCGACUAAUGUUGAAAAAUUAGCGGAUGACUUGUGGCUGGGGGUGAAAGGCCAAUCAAACCGGGAGAUAGCUGGUUCUCCCCGAAAGCUAUUUAGGUAGCGCCUCGUGAACUCAUCUCCGGGGGUAGAGCACUGUUUCGGCAAGGGGGUCAUCCCGACUUACCAACCCGAUGCAAACUGCGAAUACCGGAGAAUGUUAUCACGGGAGACACACGGCGGGUGCUAACGUCCGUCGUGAAGAGGGAAACAACCCAGACCGCCAGCUAAGGUCCCAAAGUCAUGGUUAAGUGGGAAACGAUGUGGGAAGGCCCAGACAGCCAGGAUGUUGGCUUAGAAGCAGCCAUCAUUUAAAGAAAGCGUAAUAGCUCACUGGUCGAGUCGGCCUGCGCGGAAGAUGUAACGGGGCUAAACCAUGCACCGAAGCUGCGGCAGCGACGCUUAUGCGUUGUUGGGUAGGGGAGCGUUCUGUAAGCCUGUGAAGGUGUGCUGUGAGGCAUGCUGGAGGUAUCAGAAGUGCGAAUGCUGACAUAAGUAACGAUAAAGCGGGUGAAAAGCCCGCUCGCCGGAAGACCAAGGGUUCCUGUCCAACGUUAAUCGGGGCAGGGUGAGUCGACCCCUAAGGCGAGGCCGAAAGGCGUAGUCGAUGGGAAACAGGUUAAUAUUCCUGUACUUGGUGUUACUGCGAAGGGGGGACGGAGAAGGCUAUGUUGGCCGGGCGACGGUUGUCCCGGUUUAAGCGUGUAGGCUGGUUUUCCAGGCAAAUCCGGAAAAUCAAGGCUGAGGCGUGAUGACGAGGCACUACGGUGCUGAAGCAACAAAUGCCCUGCUUCCAGGAAAAGCCUCUAAGCAUCAGGUAACAUCAAAUCGUACCCCAAACCGACACAGGUGGUCAGGUAGAGAAUACCAAGGCGCUUGAGAGAACUCGGGUGAAGGAACUAGGCAAAAUGGUGCCGUAACUUCGGGAGAAGGCACGCUGAUAUGUAGGUGAAGUCCCUCGCGGAUGGAGCUGAAAUCAGUCGAAGAUACCAGCUGGCUGCAACUGUUUAUUAAAAACACAGCACUGUGCAAACACGAAAGUGGACGUAUACGGUGUGACGCCUGCCCGGUGCCGGAAGGUUAAUUGAUGGGGUCAGCGCAAGCGAAGCUCUUGAUCGAAGCCCCGGUAAACGGCGGCCGUAACUAUAACGGUCCUAAGGUAGCGAAAUUCCUUGUCGGGUAAGUUCCGACCUGCACGAAUGGCGUAAUGAUGGCCAGGCUGUCUCCACCCGAGACUCAGUGAAAUUGAACUCGCUGUGAAGAUGCAGUGUACCCGCGGCAAGACGGAAAGACCCCGUGAACCUUUACUAUAGCUUGACACUGAACAUUGAGCCUUGAUGUGUAGGAUAGGUGGGAGGCUUAGAAGUGUGGACGCCAGUCUGCAUGGAGCCGACCUUGAAAUACCACCCUUUAAUGUUUGAUGUUCUAACGUUGACCCGUAAUCCGGGUUGC